rnacentral:rRNA from 1 species
GACGAACGCUGGCGGCGCGCUUAACACAUGCAAGUCGAGCGAAGCGGCGGACGGGUGAGUAACACGUGAGUAACCUGCCUUAGACAUUGGGAUAGCCUCGGGAAACCGGGAGUAAUACCAAAUGGUCUAAGAUGGACUCGCGUCCCAUUAGCUAGCGGGUGAGGUAACGGCCCAACAAGGCGACGAUGGGUAGCCGGCCUGUGAGGGGGAGCGGCCACAUUUGAACGGAGAAACGGUCCAAACUCUACGGGAGGCAGCAGUGGGGAAUAUUGCAAAAUGGAGGGAACUCUGAUGCAGCGAGGCCGCGUGAACGAAGAAGGCUUGCGAGUCGUAAAGUUCUUUUAUAUGGGAAGCGGUACCAUCAGAAAAAGCCCCGGCUAACUACGUGCCAGCAGCCGCGGUAAUAC